UACGGAGGUGGCAAGCGUUGUUCGGAAUUACUGGGCGUAAAGGGCGCGUAGGCGGGGAGACAAGUCGGGUGUGAAAUCCCUCGGCUCAACCGAGGAACGGCGCCCGAAACUGUCUCUCUUGAGUCCCGGAGAGGAAGGUGGAAUUCCCGGUGUAGCGGUGAAAUGUGUAGAGAUCGGGAGGAACACCGGUGGCGAAGGCGGCCUUCUGGACGGUGACUGACGCUGAGGCGCGAAAGCGUGGGGAGCAAACGGG
rnacentral:rRNA from 1 species